UACGGGGGGUGCAAGCGUUGUCCGGAAUUACUGGGCGUAAAGGGCGUGUAGGCGGCUUAUUAAGUCAGAUGUGAAAGCCUCCCGCUUAACGGGAGAACUGCAUUUGAAACUGAUAGGCUUGAGUGUGAGAGGGGGUAGUGGAAUUCCCAGUGUAGCGGUGAAAUGCGUAGAUAUUGGGAAGAACACCAGUAGCGAAGGCGGCUACCUGGCUCAUAACUGACGCUAAUGCGCGAAAGCGCGGGGAGCAAACAGG
rnacentral:rRNA from 1 species